rnacentral:lncRNA from 11 species
CCUGCCCCCACCAUACAGGCCUGACUUGGCUCUGUGUGAUUUCUUUCCCCAGGUUCAAAAAUCACCUCAAAGAACAUCACUUUGGGACAGUUGAAAAUAUCCAGACAUCCAGGCAGCUGCGACGAGGGCUUUGAACAUCUCAUGAAGAUUUCCUCCACUAUGAUGAAGCAUGGCAGCAACUCUGGAAUCACCGUAUUUAGUCACAAGGAGCCUAUUUUGAAGAUUUCUGUCUUUGUGGUGCACUGAUCUCUUGUGGCAACAGGAUUUUUCUGAGGUCUCCCGUGGAGCACAGUUUGUUGAUUAAAUGCCAGUACUUACAAGCCUAAA